rnacentral:rRNA from 1 species
AUGGCUGAUGAUACCAAGUUCCUCCUUUUGGCUUUACUCUUGAGCUGCUCAUCGUUGUGUUUUGGUUCUGAAGCUGAUAUCCAGUGCCUGAAAUCUGUACAACAAUCAGUGAUUGAUCCCAACGGCGUACUCAAAUCCUCGUGGUACUUUGAAAAUCCCUAUCCCAAUGAUGCUUACAUAUGCCGCUUUACUGGUGUGGAAUGUUGGUACCAUGACGAGAACAGGGUUCUCAGUUUACGUCUUGGCAACCUAGGACUUGAAGGCCCAUUUCCUCAAGGUCUAGAGAAUUGUUCAAGCGUGACCGGCCUGGACCUGUCAAACAACAAUUUUUCAGGACCAAUCCCUCAGGACAUUUCACGGCAGGUGCCGUACCUGACAUCUCUGGACCUUUCGUACAAUAGUUUUACGGGUUCAAUCCCACAGAAUAUCUCAAAUAUGACAUAUCUGAAUAUCCUCAACCUUCAGCAUAACCAAUUCAGCGGUCAAAUUCCACCGCAAUUCAAUUUGCUUACUCGGUUAACCGCAUUCAAUGUUGCGGAGAACUUGUUAUCAGGGCCUAUUCCUUCUUUGCUACAAAACUUUUCGGCUUCGAACUUUGCUGGUAACCAAGGGCUUUGUGGUUCACCCUUGGAUGAGUGCUCCACCCCUCAGAGGAGAUGGAGACCGGUACGAAUCAGGCUGCACAGGCUCAACGACCAGUCGAGCAUCGGAGCGGCCGUCGGAUUUGUCGUGGGAUUCGUGGUGGCCUUCUACUUCCCGCAAUGCUUCGUCUGCUCCGAGAGGUUUCGUGCCAACGUCGUCCGCAUAUGA